rnacentral:rRNA from 1 species
ACGAACGCUGGCGGCAGGCUUAACCCAUGCAAGUCGACCGAAGGCUUCGGCCUUAGUGGCGCACGGGUAAGUAACACGUGAGAAUAUACCUCUCAGUAGAGGAUAACGUCGGGAAACUGACGCUAAUACCGCAUACGCCCUUCGGGGGAAAGAUUUAUCGCUGAGAGAUUAGCCCGCGUCCGAUUAGCUAGUUGGUAAGGUAAUGGCUUACCAAGGCUACGAUCGGUAGCUGGUCUGAGAGGAUGAUCAGCCACACUGGGACUGAGACACGGCCCAGACUCCUACGGGAGGCAGCAGUGGGGAAUAUUGGACAAUGGGGGCAACCCUGAUCCAGCCAGGCCGCGUGAGUGAUGAAGGCCUUAGGGUUGUAAAGCUCUUUCGACGGGGACGAUGAUGACGGUACCCGUAGAAGAAGCCCCGGCUAACUUCGU